GCUGUGGGGUCUGAAAGGCUCUAAAAGGCUGUAGUUGGGGAGGGUGGAUAUGAAAGACCCUAAAAUGGGGCUGUGGGGUCUGAAAGGCCCUAAAAGGGGGCAGUUGUGGGGGGAGAGAGAGGAUAUGAAAGGCCGUGAAAUGGGGCCAUGGGGUCUGAGAGGCCCUAAAAUGGGGCUGAAAAGCCCUAAAAGGGGAUGGCUGGUGGGGGAGGUGAGUAUGAAAGGCCCUGAAAUGGGGCCAUGGAGUCUGAGAAGCCCCGAAAUGGGGCACUUUUUGGGGGGGGUGGUGGAUCUGAAAGGCCCUAAAAUGGGGCCAUGGGGUCUGAGAAGCCCUGAAAUGGGGCCAUGGGGUCUGAAAGGCCCUAAAAUGGGGCCAUGGGGUCUGAAAAGCCCUGAAAUGGGGCCAUGGGGUCUGAAAGGCCCUAAAAUGGGGCCGUGGGAUCUGAGGGGCUCUGAAAUGGGGCCAUGGGGUCUGAAAAGCCCUAAAAGGGAGCAGUUGGGGAGGGAUAUGAAAAGUCCUAAAAUGGGGCAGUUUUUUGGGGGGGGUCUGAAAAGCCCUAAAACGGGGUCAUGGGAUCUGAAAGGCCCUAAAAUGGGGUCGUGGGGUCUGUCCUUACAAAUAGCUGGUGUGAAAAAGUCGAAAUGCCAUCUAUGUUAGCAACAGGCUUUAGAAAUAUCGUUGCUGAGUUGUGUGAUUAAUUCUUGCUUGCAGAACUGCGAUAGUUUUUAAAUGUUCCAAAUAUACAGGUAUAGUAUUAUGGACUAGAAAGCAGAUUGUAGGGCUGUUCUGUUUGGAUAAGAGACUCUCAGCAAAAGAAAAACAGACUUCACAAACAUCAAAUUAGGCAGGGUCUCUACACGAGGCUGGCUUGCCUUGCUCUGUAGGUAGGUUGGGAUGCAACAGGCAGGCAUCAGGAUAUUCCCCUCUGUCCUCCUUCCAAGCUUAUCUCUACGCAAGGACGAGCAGAUGUCCAUAAAAAAUGACCGAGCGUCGAAUGAGCAAAUUUGAGCGUCGGGAAGAUUGUGAACUUGAAGCACUGAGCCAAUGAGGAACCAGGGGAGAAAGAGCUCUGAAAAUGCCAUCCCUCCGUCGCGGGAACAGAACUGCAGGAGAAUAGCAGAAAAUGGGCAACGUUUGGGACCAGCACUGACCCCAGGGGAAGCGUCAGCCCUCCACUUCCCCAAAAUUCGGGAUGAAAAAAGGGGAAAUGGGGCAAAAGGAGGAAGCUGUUCAGGCUGAAGGCCGUUCACCUUCUGACUGCGUUUGUUUUUUCCCAGCUCUUUGGUCCGCUGUGAAAUUUGGCAGAAAUUGGGCAAAAGUGAAUUUCCUUGUGAGUUUCAGGCUUUUGUUUUCGGUGGUGGGGACGGCUGGAUGAAAACCCUGCAGGAAACAGGAGAAUGUUCAGAAGGAAGGAAGGGAACACCGUCCUAAGGAGGAUUUUCAUGACACGCAGUGAUAAGGAUGAGAAGUUCUCACCCAACCCUAAGACAGAACCCACCCUCGUACAGAAGAAAAUACAGCUGAGUCUGGCUGCAAGCGUCAGAGAACACCAGUUGUUUUGGUCUAAAACUUCCAGAAAAAACCACCGACUUCGGAGAAGUGUUGGCUUCACUUGUGGGGAGCGGUGUGGUUUUUUAGCUAUUUCUCCUAAAAAUCAGCAAAGGAGGGGCUGUGGCACAUGGCCAGAGGCUUCACGAGUGCGUCAGCUGCUGUGAAAAUUCCUGAGUUUGCACAUUUGUCAUUGAGUUGUGGGUUUUCUUUUGUUGUCGUUGGUUGGUUUU